rnacentral:rRNA from 1 species
AGAGUUUGAUCCUGGCUCAGAAUGAACGCUGGCGGCGUGCUUAACACAUGCAAGUCGAACGAUGAAGCCUAGCUUGCUAGGUGGAUUAGUGGCGCACGGGUGAGUAAUAUAUAGGUAACGUGCCUCUUAGUCUGGGAUAGCCAUUGGAAACGAUGAUUAAUACUGGAUACUCCUUCUAACUCUAAUGUUAGUUGGGAAAGUUUUUCGCUAAGAGAUCGGCCUAUUUCCCAUCAGGUAGUUGGUAGUGUAAGAGACUACCAAGCCUAUGACGGGUAGCGGGUUUGAGAGGAUGAUCCCCCACACUGGUACUGAGACACGGACCAGACUCCUACGGGAGGCAGCAGUGAGGAAUAUUGGACAAUGGGCGAAAGCCUGAUCCAGCAAUACCGCGUGUGUGAAGAAGGCCCGAGGGUUGUAAAGCACUUUCAAUAGGGACGAAAAGCCUAAGCUUAAUACGCUUGGGUCUUGACUUAACCUAUACAAGAAGCACCGGCUAACUCCGUGCCAGCAGCCGCGGUAAUACGGAGGGUGCAAGCGUUAAUCGGAAUUACUGGGCGUAAAGCGCACGUAGGUGGUUUAUUAAGUCAGAUGUGAAAGCCCUGGGCUCAACCUGGGAACUGCAUUUGAAACUGUCAGGCUAGAGUAUGGUAGAGGAUAGUGGAAUUUCCGGUGUAGCGGUGAAAUGCGUAGAGAUCGGAAGGAACAUCAGUGGCGAAGGCGGUCUCCUGGAACAAUACUGACGCUAAGGCGUGAAAGCGUGGGGAGCAAACGGGAUUAGAUACCCCGGUAGUCCACGCCCUAAACGAUGAACACUAGUCGUCGCUCUGCUAGUCAGAGCGGUGAUGCACUUAACAGAUUAAGUGUUCCGCCUGGGGAGUACGGUCGCAAGAUUAAAACUCAAAGGAAUAGACGGGGACCCGCACAAGUGGUGGAGCAUGUGGUUUAAUUCGAAAAUACGCGAAGAACCUUACCUAGCCUUGACAUUGAUUGAACGGACCAGAGAUGGACCGGUGCCCUUCGGGGAGCAUGAAAACAGGUGCUGCACGGCUGUCGUCAGCUCGUGUCGUGAGAUGUUGGGUUAAGUCCCGCAACGAGCGCAACCCUCGUCCUUAGUUGCCAGCAGGUUAAGCUGGGCACUCUAAGGAGACUGCCUUCGUAAGGAGGAGGAAGGUGAGGACGACGUCAAGUCAUCAUGGCCCUUAUGGCUAGGGCUACACACGUGCUACAAUGGGGCGUACAGAGAGUUGCGAUACCGCGAGGUGGAGCCAAUCUCACAAAGCGUCUCUCAGUUCGGAUUGAAGUCUGCAACUCGACUUCAUGAAGCUGGAAUCACUAGUAAUCGUAGAUCAGCAAUGCUACGGUGAAUACGUUCCCGGGUCUUGUACUCACCGCCCGUCACACCAUGGGAGUUGAUUUCACCCGAAAUUGGUAGGCUAACCUUCGGGAGGCUACCACUUACGGUGGAAUUAGCGACUGGGGUGAAGUCGUAACAAGGUAACC